rnacentral:lncRNA from 1 species
CUUGAGCUUUGUAUUGACCAAAUUAGAGCUUAUCUACAAUGCUAUUAGUGUAGAAUAGGUAGAGACACCACCUUGCACCAUCAAUUAGGUGAUAUAGCUUGAUUUUAUUGGAGAUUAAUUGUAGUUUCAUGUAUGGAGAGAAAAGGCAUUCUAGAUCUAGGGUUUCCUUUUUUUGUUUUUGUUUCAUGAAUUUGGAAUGUGGUUGGCAUGAAUAGUUAUUGGUAAACUAAUAGUUGUUGUUAAUAUUAAUUGUUUCUAAUAAUGGUAGAUAAUAAUUGGUAAUAUUAAUUAUGUCUAAUAAUCGUUUCUAACACAAUUAUUACUAAUAAUGAUAGCUAAUAAUUGUUGCUAAUAAUGGUAGAUAAUAAUUGUUACUUAUUAAUUGUUGCUAAUAAUGGU